rnacentral:rRNA from 1 species
GACGAACGCUGGCGGCGUGCUUAACACAUGCAAGUCGAACGGUAAGGCCUUCGGGUACACGAGUGGCGAACGGGUGAGUAACACGUGGGUGAUCUGCCCUGCACUUUGGGAUAAGCCUGGGAAACUGGGUCUAAUACCGGAUAGGACUACGCACUGCAUGGUGUGUGGUGGAAAGCUUUUGCGGUGUGGGAUGGGCCCGCGGCCUCUCAGCUUGUUGGUGGGGUGAUGGCCUACCAAGGCGACGACGGGUAGCCGGCCUGAGAGGGUGUCCGGCCACACUGGGACUGAGAUACGGCCCAGACUCCUACGGGAGGCAGCAGUGGGGAAUAUUGCACAAUGGGCGCAAGCCUGAUGCAGCGACGCCGCGUGGGGGAUGACGGCCUUCGGGUUGUAAACCUCUUUCAGCACAGACGAAGCGCGAGUGACGGUAUGUGCAGAAGAAGGACCGGCCAACUACGUGCCAGCAGCCGCCGUAA